rnacentral:ncRNA from 1 species
GACCAUGUCGUGGCUAAGAGGGAAAUGGGUGAAAAUCCCAUGCGGUCCCGCCGCUGUAAGUGUAUGAAUGCAACUAUCAGAUUUAUUACGAAUCGAAAACCACUGGAAACGGGAAGGUGAUAGUUGUUUAACACGAGCCAGAAGACCUGCAUUUGGUG